CAAGCUGGCCAGGCGGCCGCGGCACUUCGGUGUCGAGGAACGUCCGGGCUCCAUAGAGCACGGUGGUGGGUAACGCCCACCCGAGGUGACUCGCGGGACAGUGCCACAGAAAGUAAACCGCCGCAAGGUAAGGGUGAAAGGGUGAGGUAAGAGCUCACCGCGGACCGGGUGACCGGGACGGCAUGGUAAACCCCACCGGGAGCAAGACCAGACAGUCGGCCAAACGCUGCUCGUGACGGGCUAGUCCCGGGCCGACGGGUGGGUCGCUAGAAGUGCGCGGCAACGCGUACUCGAGAUGGAUGGUCGCCCUAGACAGAACCCGGCGUAUCGGCCAGCUUGUCCC
rnacentral:RNase_P_RNA from 1 species